CGAGAGCGCCCAGGGGGUGGGCGUCUUGCCCCGGGCGUCGAGAGUUUGGGGCCGUCCCGUACGCGGCGCGCCGCAACCCAGUCCCCGCGACCACAGCAGCCUGCUCCCCACCGCGCUUGCAGAGCCCGGACGCGCGUGAGUCGGGGGCCCGCAGAGGCCUCACCCUUGGAGGUCGCCGCUUGUCAGGCCUGACUGCUGUUGGCGCCCACCCCGCCGCCCCCGAGGGGCCGCUCGAGGCCGGACUGCUGCUUUGCCGUGGCAGGCCCCACCCGGGACGUGGCGCUGCGGGCCGGGGCGGUCCAGCUUUACACCAGCCUCCUGAGUAUGACAGCAACAUUCCUUCAGGGAUUAAAGAAAAUGCUUCAGAAGAUUGGAACACUGCUCAGCCUUCCCAACCUUCUUUUACCACUGAUGUUUCUACCUUAGUGAUCUUCCUCCUUAUUUUAAUGCUUCUUUCUCUUUACAAUUAAAAGUUCAUAAAAUCUUUCAACAUUAUUUUUCACUACAAAAGUCUGAAGUUCUCUGUGAAAUGCCUACAUGUAAGAAUUAAGAUAGAUUUUAAAGACUGUCAGUCUCAAAAUUCCAUGCUCAUCAGUUAGUGCAUGAUAUUAAAUUAUGCUUUUUUCCUCCUUUUAAAUAUACCAACAUUAUAUUGC
rnacentral:lncRNA from 1 species